rnacentral:miRNA from 1 species
CAGAAUCUAUUCUAAUUC